AUUGAACGCUGGCGGCAGGCCUAACACAUGCAAGUCGAACGGUAACAGGAAGCAGCUUACUGCUUCGCUGACGAGUGGCGGACGGGUGAGUAAUGUCUGGGAAACUGCCUGAUGGAGGGGGAUAACUACUGGAAACGGUAGCUAAUACCGCAUAACGUCGCAAGACCAAGAGGGGGACCUUAGGGCCUCUUGCCAUCGGAUGUGCCCAGAUGGGAUUAGCUAGUAGGUGGGGUAACGGCUCACCUAGGCGACGAUCCCUAGCUGGUCUGAGAGGAUGACCAGCCACACUGGAACUGAGACACGGUCCAGACUCCUACGGGAGGCAGCAGUGGGGAAUAUUGCACAAUGGGCGCAAGCCUGAUGCAGCCAUGCCGCGUGUAUGAAGAAGGCCUUCGGGUUGUAAAGUACUUUCAGCGGGGAGGAAGGGAGUAAAGUUAAUACCUUUGCUCAUUGACGUUACCCGCAGAAGAAGCGCCGGCUAACUCCGUG
rnacentral:rRNA from 1 species